GCAAGCGCCCUGCUGGCGUCGCGGAAAAUGCGGCGAGGCGCUUCGGCCGGCCUCUGCCUUGCAGGUGGACUGUAAGUGUCGAGUCGUGAGCGUCUAACGCGUCAGUCUGCGAACGCUGAAAAUUUUCCGUUGUCACUGGAUGGCAAUUUCAGGGCUUAUUUUCCUUACAAGUGUGACACCAAACUAGCUGACGACGUUGUUGUCAAGCAAAGGAGCGUCAAUAAACGGGUCAUCAAUUUAAUGUGAUAAAAAAUGUCAUCUGCGAUUUAGCCACAAGUGACAGCAAAUUUUCACAGUGAAGGUGUGGCGCUACAAGUCGUGAGGCGAUAAGUUCAGCGUGAAAGUUGAGGACGGAUGCACACGAUCUGGUUCUCACCGAGCGAACGUGGCGUAUUGCCCGAUCGGGGGCACACCAGUCCGACAAGACACCGGCACCCAUGCACACACGUCGAAAGGAGGGGCCUCAUCUGUCAGUUACCAAUAACGGGCGGCGCGAUUCUGCGAGGCCGCGGCUCCUGUGCCCGCACAACUUGCUCAGCCUCACGAGCUGCCUUCGCCGCCGCUGCUUUAUCGGCUUCUUCUUCGGCAUAUGCAUCCUGUACGGCCUUUUCCUGCUGCAGGGCAGAUUCUUCUCCCAAAUUCCAAAUGAGAACACUGCGUUCCAUGUGCGGGUUCAGCCCACUGCCCGGCCGUUCCCGGCUUGCGUCCGCCCCCCAGCGUCCGCCGCUCGCCUGCUGGACUCGCCGGGCUGCCGCAUCCCGGCGCACGAGCCCUUCAGCGCGGAAGUCAAGGGCUUCGUCUCGGACUUCCCCAGCGUGCGGUGCGCCGAUCCGCCGCCGCUGGUGCGCUCCAACGACACGCACUUGAUGCUGGAGAAGGGCCUGGCCGCGGCCUACAAUGUGUCGUCCGUCACCUGCUGCUACACUGCCAUGUGGCGCUUCCAAGGACCGCGCUGGCAGGAAGACCCCGAGGUGCUCCGCGACGGCCUGAGGCACGGCAAUGACAUUCGCUUCGCGAAGGACUGCGUGGCCUUCGAGGAGCCCGUGGCCGUGCCGCACGAGUUCGUCCGCGUGACGUGCACGGGCAGGCGGCUCUCCAACAAGACGGUCGACAACAAGCUGUACACGGACUACCACGCGUUCGUGCCGCUGCGCCGCCCGCGCGGCCAUCCCGGGGGCAUCACGCCGCGCGAGCACGUGUCCGAGGACGCACUCAGCGUGCUCAUCGUGGGCAUCGACUCCCUGUCCAGGCUCAACAUGAUCCGGAAGAUGCCCAAGACGCGCGCCUUUCUGGAGGAGCACCUCGGCGCCAGGAGCAUGAUGGCCUACAACAAGGUGGAGGACAACACGUUCCCGAACCUGGUGCCGCUGCUGACCGGCAUGAACAUCCCCGAGCUGCGCAACUCGUGCUGGCCCGAGGACUCGGCGCACUUCGACGCCUGCCCCUGGGUGUGGAAGCGCUUCAACGCCGAGGGCUACGUCAACAUGUUCGCCGAGGACACCGCCUGGAUGGGGCUGUUCCACUACCUCAAGCGCGGCUUCGCCGUGCAGCCCACGGACUACGACCCGCGGCCCCUGCUGUACCUCGGCGAGAAGAACCUCGGCCGCGGUGGCGGAUUCAACGCCAAGUACUGCAUCGGCCAGCGCCACCAGAUCGAGGAAGUUCUUCGGCCUGGUGUGGGGCACCUCGCUGUCGCACGACAUGCUCAACCAGCCCGACGAGGCCGACGACAUGUACGCGCGCUUCCUCGGCGACCUCGAGGCGACGGGGCUGUUCAACAGCACGGCUGUCAUCUUCAUGAGCGACCACGGGCUGCGAUUCGGCAGCAUCCUCAGCACCUAUCAGGGCCACCUCGAGAACAUGUUACCCCCGAUGUACGUUGUGCUGCCGGAGUGGGUGCGGCGCCGCUACCCGCUGGCUAUCCACAACCUGGAGUGCAACCGCCACAGCUUGGUGACGGUGUUCGACCUGCACCGCACGCUGCACAACCUGAUGGACCUGACGUCGCUGGAGCAGGCCAAGGUCGAGGCGGACGGGGCGCGGGUGGCUGCGGCGUUCGCCGCCAAGGGAGGCACCCCGCCGCGCGGCAUCAGUCUGUUCACGCCCAUCCCCGCGGCCAGGACGUGCUCGGACGCCGGCAUCCCCACCAACUACUGCGCCUGCCAGCACCUGAGCCAGGCCGACCCGCAGGCGCCAGACGUACAGAAAUCAGCCAACUUCGUGGUGAGCCACAUCAACUCGAUCGUGACCUUGGCGUGCUCCACGUUGCGUUUGGACUCCGUGCUUGAGGCGCGGAAAGGCACGCCACUGCACACGCGUGAUCUGAAAAAGGAGGCGGACGAGAACGAAUUUCAGGUGACUCUUCGCACGCAGCCGGGGGACGCCCUGUUCUCCGCCACGGUGCGGCACCACAUCAAGUCGGACCGCAUGCAGCUGGCGGGCUCCAUCAGCCGCCUCAACGCGUACGGCAACUCGAGCUGGUGCGCCGAGU
rnacentral:misc_RNA from 1 species